rnacentral:lncRNA from 1 species
GUCAAGGAGGGCUUCCUGGAGUAGGUGGGAUUGAACUUAGGUUUUGGGGGGUGGUGUCCACAAUGAGCUUUGGGGUGAGGAUCCAGGUCCUGCUCUAGGCUGGUGUCUCAGACCUGCUGGGUUUUGGAUGCAUGACCAGCCCCAUCUUAGCUGCCUCAGUGUCACUGCACUUUGGGAGGGACCCAUACCCCAGUCUGAAGAUCAACCACCAUUGGAAGCCCUGGGAGCAGCACCGAGAGGCGGGCCAUGUGGACACCCUGGUCUGCAGAUGAGGGCUCAGAGAGGGGACGUGACCUGCCCGAAGCCACCAGCUCCUGAACUGUAGGACUCGAACUCCACGGCAGAGGCUGCUCUCAACCUCUCAGCCCUCACUGAUGCUGAUGAAACAGAGCUCCCCGCGCCCUGAGGUGGACUCAGCCCUCCUCACACGCCGGAUCCCUAAAGGAAGACUGGUGCAAACCCAGCCCCGACGCACCAUCUGUGCUCUCCCAUCGGUGCAGCCCAGGCAGAGCCCAGCCGACAGGACCCUGCACUGGCCUCGUGCCCAUCAUCUGCCAGAGUUGUGCCCACGCCUGCCCAGCCUGACCCGGACCAACCAUCCUCGUUCCUGAAGUUGGCCUCGUGUUGGACGGCGGCCGAGCACCUGCUCAGUUGUGAUCCGAACUCAGGCCUGGCCCUCCCUGGUCCCUCCACGUCCAACCUCCAUCCCCCCACCCCCAGGCUGAACAGAGGAGGGGAGGGGGAAUGGUGAAGCUGGGAGCCACAGUAGCAGCUGAAGGGAUGGGGUUAGAGUGGAGAAAGAUCCCAAGAGAAGCAGGAGAGAUCACCGGGAGAUAAAAGCUAGAUAUGUUGGAGUCUUAACCCCCAGGACCUGAGAACGGGAGCUUACUUGGAGACGGGGCCUUUCCAAGGUGCUCCAG